UACGUAGGGUGCAAGCGUUAAUCGGAAUUACUGGGCGCAAAGCGUGCGCAGGCGGUUAUGUAAGACAGAUGUGAAAUGCCCGGGCUUAACCUGGGAACUGCAUUUGUGACUGCAUGGCUAGAGUUUGGCAGAGGGGGAUGGAAUUCCGCGUGUAGCAGUGAAAUGCGUAGAUAUGCGGAGGAACACCGAUGGCGAAGGCAAUCCCCUGGGCCUGUACUGACGCUCAUGCACGAAAGCGUGGGGAGCAAACAGG
rnacentral:rRNA from 1 species